GUCAGCACUUACUGAGUACCUACCGCAUGUAAGUGAUGGCUGUUGACGCAAUGUGGUGACUGAUGAUAUUGACUUGGCUCCCAACUUCUGCAGUGGAAUCAGGAACUUGGGCACUGCCCUAACAGACUGGCUUUUGCUCUCAAUCAGCUGGCACUGCUAGUUGGGGCUCCUGGAGACAUUUCGACCUGCCAACCAUGAUCCAGCCCCAGGCUUCUGUUCUCCCAGUCACCGUCUCACUUCUUUCAGGUGUGCCUGCUCUAAUGUCACCUCAGUCGGAAGGCUUUCCUGGCCACAGUAGGUGACUGAAUCGUGCAAUCUCAUGGGACAGAACACCUGGAGAGGGAGAAGCUGCCACAAGAGCACGGAGCCUGGGCGUCUUCUGAUCACCUCACACUAUCUAGCGUGGCCGCCUUGUCA